UAGGGAAUCUUCGGCAAUGGACGAAAGUCUGACCGAGCAACGCCGCGUGAGUGAAGAAGGUUUUCGGAUCGUAAAACUCUGUUGUUAGAGAAGAACAAGGACGUUAGUAACUGAACGUCCCCUGACGGUAUCUAACCGGAAAGCCACGGCUAACUACGUGCCAGCAGCCGCGGUAAUACGUAGGUGGCAAGCGUUGUCCGGAUUUAUUGGGCGUAAAGCGAGCGCAGGCGGUUUCUUAAGUCUGAUGUGAAAGCCCCCGGCUCAACCGGGGAGGGUCAUUGGAAACUGGGAGACUUGAGUGCAGAAGAGGAGAGUGGAAUUCCAUGUGUAGCGGUGAAAUGCGUAGAUAUAUGGAGGAACACCAGUGGCGAAGGCGGCUCUCUGGUCUGUAACUGACGCUGAGGCUCGAAAGCGUGGGGAGCAAACAGG
rnacentral:rRNA from 2 species